GUGAGGAAAUGGAAGGCCGUUCCCUAUGGACCCAGUUAUAUCUUUAGAGAAUGUUCUUGGCCAAAAAUAACGAUUUCCUUCUCUGUGAAUUACACACCACCAGGAGGUUCUGCCUUCUCGACUUCCUCAUAAGAAUUUCCAAAUUGCCUCACAACAAUUCUCAGAUAGCACAUCCUGGCCACCCCAGGCAAGAGAGAGAACAGUGCAGGGGGCAGGGCCCCGGAGCAGAGGGAGGCACCCCGAUGUUGAUAACUAGUCCUGUGUCUUUGGUCUAGCUUUGCCUCCUUUAUAAAAUGGGCUUAAUGACAAAAAAAAAAAAAAAGGCAUGGUCCCAGUUCUGACAUGAGUGAGUUCUGGAAUGUUAAGCAUGAGACAGCAUCUUUGCAAGCAAAGAAACUGGAGGCCACUUGGGGAAAUAUGGCAAAGAUGCAAAGUGACCACAAAAACAGCAGAUUUGCUAGAGCGUCCUGCUUUGUGUGUGGACAGCGGACUCGGGAGUGGCUCCGGGAGCCCAGUGGCUGGGGCCUCUGGGGAGGGCUGUGGGCACCGCCUGCCGAUUCUUCCCAGUCAAAGCUGCAGGUGAGGACAGCGACGGCCCCGCCCGUCCCGACUCCUCCUGAGCCGGCUCGGCGCGCCUGCGCUGCUGUUCGUUCCCUCCGAUGUCAGGCUGUCACUUCAGACGCAGCACGUCUCACCAGCCUCACCUCCUUCCAGACAAGCCAGCCCCCGGUGCCGUCAGCCGUGCCACCGUGAUGUUCAAGUCACCCGCGUCGGGAUCCACCCGUCAGCCGGGCUGGUGGCUCCGCAUGUCACGUGCACACCUGUCUCUCGUUGCCAUCCCCUUGCUGCUGCCAGCCGUGUUUAGGUCUCAAUCACCUGCCGCCGAAGUUAUUAGACGGUUGUCACAGCGGCUUCCUCCCCUGCACUCCCUCCUCCUCCGUCCAGCUCACGCCCUGUCGGGUGGGGCGUGCUGAGACCUCGCCGAAAAGGGUUAAGGCUGCUGCUGCUGCUGCUGCUUUGGAUUCCUGAUUAAUUACAAGAUCAAAUAGAGACUCCAGCCUGUAACUCAUGGCUCUUCAUAAUCUGGCCCCGUCUGCAUGGCACCUUUAUCCGUGGGGACCCCUGUUGCUCAAAAUGUACGGUCCACGUAGAGGAGGUUGUGCGCGCCCACCUGCAGAGGCCUGGGGCCUUCUCGCCCUGAGCCCCCCACCCCGCCGCUCCCCAGGCCCCGCAGCGAGGGCGCCUCCCUCCUUCCUUCUCUGAACAGCACUCCAGGCAGGCAGCAAGCUCUCCUCCGCUGCCCGGGCCCUGAGGGUUUCUCCUUGGGAAGGCCUCUCUGGUCAUUGCUUAGUGUUUGGUUAGUUUCCAUUUUAUGAGCGUUUUGUUCUCCCGACUGGAUGGUAAACACUUUGAAGAUAGGUGUUAUGACUUAAUUCCAAAGAAAGCCUCUCCCUGACUUCUUCGAGGCCAGCAGCUGUGCUUGACGUAGCAGCAAAAAACGCACUGUCAUCUCCGUGGGCGCAGAGGCUUAUGCAGCGAGGGGCGUAGGUGCCGCAGGUUGUUGACACUUGCAGGUAUGGGCAGCAAGGAGCUGCUGAAGGGCCUGUGAAACCUUCUCAUGGGAAGUUCUGGAAAACAGAUUUGUUUGAUAAAUUUCUUUUUUUUUUUCAUUUAACCUUUUCCGUAUGGGAUUUUUUUUUUAAUUGAAGUAGAGGUGAUUUACAAUGUUCUGAUAAUUUGUGGUGUGUUUUAUAAAAUUCUUGAUUUUCAGUAUGCAUGUUCUUUUAUCUCCAGGCAUAGAAAGAUUUCCAUAUUCCAGAAAGAGCACAUCACUUCGGUGGGAUAACGUAUGUGCAAGUAUUUUGUAAACUUAAAGCACUAUAAACAGAUGAAGGAUUAUUUUGAUUAUGAUAAAAUUUCCUUAAGCAAUAAUCUAAGGGGAAGGAUGCAGGGAGCAAGUCUAUAAUGCCGUUCACCCAGCAAGAGCUCAUCCCUUCUGGCCGGAGAAGUGGAGGGGACCACGCGCUCUCUUUUUUUCUAGUUCUCCUCCCUUCUGGCAGCACUGAAUCUUGCCAGAAACCAUGAUUUGUGUGAGAGCAGCAUUUUGCUGUCCUGGUCCCGUUGCAUGUCUGUGGGAGGCUGGGAGGCGCUUCCGUUGCUGUUGGAAGCCCUCUCUUUAAUUGCUACGUUUUGGGAAGUUAGCUGGAUAUUGCAUUAAACUGACAAAACAAGUUGUUGGGGACCACUCUAUUUUUUAUUCAGUGUUGAAAAAGUGGCAGUUAGUUGUUUGCUUAAUCCUCCAAGCUGAUGAGGCAUUUCGUUAUCGUACCACUAAUACACUCUAGAAAACGGAAUCAUGAGAGAACAGAAGUCACUGAAAUGUAAACAUGUGAAUAAUUUACACUUUCAACUGGUGUUAAAUAAAAGGUUUUAAUCUAGACAGAGAUCUGACAAUAAAUAUUCAUUUCUAAUUUCCAAUGAGUAAACUUUAUCUCUUUUUAAAAGCC